AACGAAGCCCUUGAGAGCUCCACCUAGUUCACAGGAUAAAAUCCCGCAGCAGAACACGGAUUCAGCAAUGGCUAAACCCCAGGUGGUUGUAGCACUGGUAUUAAUGUCUAAGCUGUCUGUGAAUGCCCCUGAAUUUUAUCCAUCAGGUUAUUCUUUCAAUUACACAGAAUCCUAUGAGGAUGGUUGUGAGGAUUAUCCCACUCUAUCUGAAUAUGUUCAGGAAUUUUUGAAUCAUCUUACAGAGCAGCCUGGCAGUUUUGAAACUGAAAUUGAACAGUUUGCGGAGACCCUGAAUGGUUGGGUUACAACAGAUGAUGCUUUGCAAGAACUUGUGGAACUCAUAUAUCAACAGGCCACGUCUAUCCCGAAUUUCUCUUAUAUGGGAGCUCGCCUGUGUAAUUACCUGUCCCAUCAUCUGACAAUUAACCCACAGAGUGGCAAUUUCGGCCAAUUGCUACUUCAAAGAUGUCGGACUGAAUAUGAAGUUAAAGAUCAAGCUGCAAAAGGGGAUGAGAUUACUCGAAAACGAUUUCAUGCAUUUGUACUCUUUCUGGGAGAGCUUUAUCUUAACCUGGAGAUCAAGGGAACAAAUGGACAGGUUACGAGAGCAGGUAUUCUUCAGGUUGGUCUUCGAGAGCUGCUGAAUGCCUCUUUUCCAAUCCUAUGGAUGACAAGUUAAUUUGUGCAGUAAAAUUAUUGAAGUUGACAGGAUCAGUUUUGGAAGAUGCUUGGAAGGAAAAAGGAAAGAUGGAUAUGGAAGAAAUUAUUCAGAGAAUUAAAUAUGUUGUCCUAGAUGCAAACUGCAGUAGAGAUAUAAAACAGAUGCUCUUGAAGCUUGUGGAACUCCGGUCAAGUAACUGGGGUAGAGUCCAUGCAACUUCAACAUACAGAGAAGCAACACCAGAAAAUGAUCCUAACUACUUUAUGAAUGAACCAACAUCUUAUACAUCUGAUGGUGUUCCUUUCACUGCAGCUGAUCCAGAUUAUCAAAAGAAAUAUCAAGGGUUACUUGAAAGACAGGACUUUUUUCCAGAUUAUGAAGAAAAUGGAACAGAUUUAUCAGGGGCUGGUGAUCCAUACUUGGAUGAUAUUGAUGAUGAGAUGGACCCAGAGAUAGAAGAAGCUUAUGAAAAGUUUUGUUUGGAAUCAGAGCGUAAGCGAAAACAGUAAAGUUAAAUUUCAGCAUAUCAGUUUUAUAAAGCAGUUUAGGUAUGGUGAUUUAGCAGAACACAGGAAAGCAAGAAAAUGUGUCCUACUUAUACCAAAUUAAGGAUGUUGAGUUAUAUUACUAAUGUAUGCAACUUUAAUUUUGUUUAAUACUAUCUGCCAAAAUAAACUUUAUUCCCUAUAACUUAAAAUGUG